UCUACACUGUACUCAGAGGUGUGACUGCAGCACAUGUUGACAAACCGGAGCUAGCUUUGAUUUAACUAACUCAAAUAACAACAGCAAUGAAGCAAGGACAGCACAGGUGGCAGCAUGGGCUAGUCACUCAGAAACAUACACAGAGUUCCAGAAACAGAUUCUCCCUCCUCUCUCAACAGAAGUGUCAUGGAGCCACAUGAACAAAAUGAGAAACUGAGUAUACAAGAAGUGUUGUCAAAUGCCAAUAAAAAACUAGAAAUGUU